AUUGAACGCUGGCGGCAUGCCUUACACAUGCAAGUCGAACGGCAGCACGGGUGCUUGCACCUGGUGGCGAGUGGCGAACGGGUGAGUAAUACAUCGGAACGUACCUUAUCGUGGGGGAUAGCGCAGCGAAAGUUGCGCUAAUACCGCAUACGCCCUGAGGGGGAAAGCGGGGGACCGUAAGGCCUCGCGCGAUUAGAGCGGCCGAUGUCUGAUUAGCUUGUUGGUGAGGUAAAAGCUCACCAAGGCGAUGAUCAGUAGCUGGUCUGAGAGGACGAUCAGCCACACUGGGGCGGAGACACGGCCCAGACUCCUACGGGAGGCAGCAGUGGGGAAUUUUGGACAAGGGGGGCCACCCUGAUCAAGCAAUGCCGCGUGAGUGAAGAAGGCCUUCGGGUUGUAAAGCUCUUUUGUCAGGGAAGAAACAGCAGCUCUAACACAGUCUGCGAAUGACGGUACCUGAAGAAUAAGCACCGGCUAACUACGUGCCAGCCGCCGCAGUAA
rnacentral:rRNA from 1 species